CCUACGGGUGACAGCAGUGAGGAAUAUUGGUCAAUGGACGGAAGCCUGAACCAGCCAUGCCGCGUGCAGGAAGACGGCUCUAUGAGUUGUAAACUGCUUUUGUACAAGGGUAAACCUGAAUACGUGUAUUCAGCUGAAAGUACUGUACGAAUAAGGAUCGGCUAACUCCGUGCCAGCAGCCGCGGUAAUACGGAGGGUCCAAGCGUUAUCCGGAUUUAUUGGGUUUAAAGGGUGCGUAGGCGGAUUGAUAAGUUAGAGGUGAAAUGUCCGGGCUUAACUCGGGAACUGCCUCUAAUACUGUUGAUCUAGAGAGUAGGUGCGGUAGGCGGAAUGUAUGGUGUAGCGGUGAAAUGCUUAGAGAUCAUGCAGAACACCGAUUGCGAAGGCAGCUUACCAAUCUAUAUCUGACGUUGAGGCACGAAAGCGUGGGGAGCAAACAGGAUUAGAUACCCGUGUAGUC
rnacentral:rRNA from 1 species